rnacentral:rRNA from 1 species
AACGAACGCUGGCGGCAGGCUUAACACAUGCAAGUCGAACGCCCCGCAAGGGGAGUGGCAGACGGGUGAGUAACACGUGGGAACAUGCCCAAAGGUACGGAAUAUUCUCGGGAAACUGAGAGCAAUACCGUAUGUGCCCGAAAGGGGAAAGAUUUAUCGCCUUUGGAUUGGCCCGCGUCGGACUAGCUAGUUGGUGGGGUAAAAGCCUACCAAGGCGACGAUCCGUAGCUGGUCUGGGAGGACGACCAGCCCCACUGGGACUGGGACACGGCCCAGACCCGGACGGGGGGGAGCGGGGGGGAAGUAGGGACAUGGGGCGGAGGCCUAACCCACCCAGGCCGGGGGGAGGAUGAGGCCCCUAGGGUUGAAAAACCCUUUCGUUGGGAACGGUAAUGCGGGAACCAAAAGAAGAGGCCCCGGUAAACUGCGU